UACGUAGGAGGCAAGCGUUGUCCGGAAUUACUGGGCGUAAAGCGCGUGUAGGCGGCCCGGUAAGUCCGCUGUGAAAGUCGGGGGCUCAACCCUCGGAUGCCGGUGGAUACUGUCGGGCUUGAGUACGGAAGAGGCGAGUGGAAUUCCCGGUGUAGCGGUGAAAUGCGCAGAUAUCGGGAAGAACACCCGUGGCGAAGGCGGUUCUCUGGGACGGUACUGACGCUGAGACGCGAAAGCGUGGGGAGCGAACAGG
rnacentral:rRNA from 1 species